ACGCUCGACACCUACGGAAGGCAGCAGUGGGGAAUAUUGCACAAUGGGGGAAACCCUGAUGCAGCGACGCCGCGUGAGCGAAGAAGUAUUUCGGUAUGUAAAGCUCUAUCAGCAGGGAAGAAAAUGACGGUACCUGACUAAGAAGCCCCGGCUAACUACGUGCCGGCAGCGCGGUAAUCUGAGCGGGCUGGCAAGGC
rnacentral:rRNA from 1 species